AACUUAAGCAUAUCAAUAAGCGGAGGAAAAGAAACCAACAGGGAUUACCUCAGUAACGGCGAGUGAAGCGGUAACAGCUCAAAUUUGAAAUCUGGCUCCUCGGGGCCCGAAUUGUAAUUUGUAGAAGAUGCUUUGGGUCUGGGCCUGGCCUAAGUUCCUUGGAACAGGACGUCGUAGAGGGUGAGAAUCCCGUAUGCGGCUGGCGCCCGUGCCCGUGUAAAGCUCUUUCAACGAGUCGAGUUGUUUGGGAAUGCAGCUCUAAAUGGGUGGUAAAUUUCAUCUAAAGCUAAAUAUUGGCCAGAGACCGAUAGCGCACAAGUAGAGUGAUCGAAAGAUGAAAAGCACUUUGGAAAGAGAGUUAAACAGUACGUGAAAUUGUUGAAAGGGAAGCGCUGGCAACCAGACUUGGGCGCUGUUGAUCCGCUAGGGUUCUCUCUAGGGCACUCGGCAGUGCGCAGGCCAGCAUCGGUUUGGGGGGUUGGAGAAUGGCUGGUGGAAUGUGGCUGUCUUUGGGCAGUGUUAUAGCCACCGGUGGCAUGCAGCCUCCCCGGACCGAGGACCGCGCUUCGGCUAGGAUGCUGGCGUAAUGGUUGUCAGCGACCCGUCUUGAAACACGGACCAAGGAGUCUAACAUCUAUGCGAGUGUUUGGGUGUUAAACCCAUACGCGGAAUGAAAGUGAACGUAGGUGAGAACCCGCAAGGGUGCAUCAUCGACCGAUCCUGAUGUCUUCGGAUGGAUUUGAGUAAGAGCAUAGCUGUUGGGACCCGAAA
rnacentral:rRNA from 1 species